GCCCUUCGGGGUACUCGAGCGGCGAACGGGUGAGUAACACGUGAGCAACCUGCCCCUGACUCUGGGAUAAGCCCGGGAAACUGGGUCUAAUACCGGAUAUGACCGCCCCUGGCAUCGGGUGGUGGUGGAAAGUUUUUCGGUUGGGGAUGGGCUCGCGGCCUAUCAGCUUGUUGGUGGGGUAGUGGCCUACCAAGGCGACGACGGGUAGCCGGCCUGAGAGGGCGACCGGCCACACUGGGACUGAGACACGGCCCAGACUCCUACGGGAGGCAGCAGUGGGGAAUAUUGCGCAAUGGGCGGAAGCCUGACGCAGCGACGCCGCGUGGGGGAUGACGGCCUUCGGGUUGUAAACCUCUUUCAGCAGGGACGAAGUUGACGUGUACCUGCAGAAGAAGCGCCGGCUAACUACGUGCCAGCAGCCGCGGUAAUACGUAGGGCGCAAGCGUUGUCCGGAAUUAUUGGGCGUAAAGAGCUCGUAGGUGGCUGGUCGCGUCUGCCGUGAAAGCCCGCAGCUUAACUGCGGGUCUGCGGUGGAUACGGGCCGGCUAGAGGUAGGUAGGGGCAAGUGGAAUUCCUGGUGUAGCGGUGAAAUGCGCAGAUAUCAGGAGGAACACCGGUGGCGAAGGCGGCUUGCUGGGCCUUACCUGACGCUGAGGAGCGAAAGCGUGGGGAGCGAACAGGAUUAGAUACCCUGGUAGUCCACGCUGUAAACGUUGGGCGCUAG
rnacentral:rRNA from 1 species